rnacentral:lncRNA from 1 species
CUCAGGUAUUCAUACAUGUGGCAACGGGGUUCCUCACUUGACCCUCACAAGCCUAUGGGAGCAGGGAUUGUCAUUCCAUUCUGCUAGGGAAACUGAGGCCCAUGGAUUUUAGGGAGGGUCACAAGGUUACUUGCAUUCAAACCUAAAGAAGCUCAUCACUAGUGUUCCUUAGGUUGAUCCCUGAGACCAUGUCCUUUGGAACAAAACAAGUCCAAAUUCCUAGGGACAUUUUAAUGACUAUAAAAGGGUAGGCAGGUGGCUUGAGGAUGGCUUCACAAUGAGAGUUGCAGGUUCCCUGCUUAGCCCCAGAAGUAAGGGGAGGACUCCGUGUUCUCAGAACUUGGAGGAGCCAUGGAACACUGGACAUAAUGAAACCUUCCGGCUAGAAAACAUCCUGGUGAGUCACGGAAAUGGGUCUCAUGCUUGGGAGGGCCUCAGAUGUCACCUAGGCCACCUCCACCCCAGUGCAGGUGUCAUCUGAAAUCUUUCUGUUAGUUGGGCACACUCAGUUACGGGGAAGCACAUGUUUGGACGCUGCAUUUUUAACAUGAGCAGUUCAGGCUUUUAAAAUCAACAUUUUUAACGCGAGCAGUUUGGGCCAUUAAAGAUAUUACAGUAUAUUUUAAAUAAAUAAAAUGGUGCUGGUGGGUCCUUAAGGAAGAAAUGGAGAACUCAGCAUCUGUGGCUGCUGGGGUGUUGGAGGCCGGCAGUUCUCAGCUGGGUGGCUCUCUGGGACUUCUUCUCCCUUGAGGAAAGCUGCACUGCCCAAUUCCAAGUUCACUCCUCCUUCUAGGGGACAGCCCACAAGAAAGAUUGGCUGAAUUGAAAAUAGGAAGGCCACGCUUCUCUCCUCAAUUAAAAAACACUACAUGACGCUCUCAGCCCUUGGGAUCCUCCGCAGGAGCAGCUGGGUCUUUGUUCUACCUGCACUGUAGCUCAGCACCUCGCUCCUCCUACAGUCCUGCCUCCCCAUUUCCUGAGGCAUGCUGACCCUACAGCUCUUCAGGAUGCUUCCUGCAUUCCUGUAUCCAUCUCUAGUCUGCCUUACAGAGAAACUGACCUUGAGCACCUAUUUCAUUCAUCACUGAGUUCGGAUGGGAAAUGAGGAAAGAGGAAAAAUCCAUGCUCCUGCCAAGAGUGUGUGCCAAGGAGUUGGGGAAGUCGCUGGGCCCUCCUAUGCUCAGUUUCAAUCUCCUAAACUGGGAAUAGUGAGAAAACCCGAGGCACAUGGAGAGUAAUGAAUUUGCUCAAGAUCACCCGGCUUUUAGAACUGGAACAUAGGCUGCCACACUCCACAGCCUUCACUUUUAAUGGUUGUACUAUGAUACCUCUUGCAGGAAGGGAGAGACAUCCCUCAGGAAGAAAGCAGAGAAGAAGCUAUAGCCUCAAUUAGGAGCAGCCCUCAUAGUGAGGCUGGGGCAGGUGCCAUGCUCCACGAGGCCCUGACAACCCAUGAUCACAUGGGGAAUUAUUCCUGGGAAGACGGAAGUGCAAGCAAGAAUCACCAAAGAUUUGAGGAACAGCACUGCAGCUAACAAAUUCAAGAAAAACAAUAACUCAAAAACAAAUAGCAAUCAAAAGAACUUCACACCUGAGCAAAUAUGAAAAAACAAAAUGUGUAAAGUUCUUUAAAGUUAGUAUACUUAAUGAUCUUAUAAGGAAAACAAAAGAGAAGUAAAUUCAUAAACCAACAUCAGGCAUGUAAUAAUAUGAAACAGAAAUAGGCGGGCAUGAGGUAACAACAACCAUCUUGAAAAAAUACCAAAACACAGACUUUGGAAAUGAAAACAUAAUCAGUGCUGAAAUUUUUUAAAAAAACUUAAUAGGUUGACUAGCUGACUAUACAUAAAUAAGUAUAAUAGUAAGUUAGUAAGCUGGGUGAUUAUGUAGGGGAAAUUUCCUGUGGUACAGCACAGAGACACACCCAAACAAAGUAAUGUGGAUAGGUAAAAAUAUACCACAAUAUUGUGGUAUAUCUUUUCCUAUUGCUCUAUUUUUACCUAUCCACAUUACUACAUUACUUUGAGAGGUGUGAGUCAUAAAGUAUUAUGUCUCCAAAAAUAAGAAUUGGGCGUAUAUGACUCAAAAAUGCAUAGUAUAGUGUCAGGAAGAUGGCAGAAUCUGUGCUUAGAGCAGCAAGUGCCUUCCUGUGAACUUCAAUCCUUCAGUAAAGAUCAACUAAGUACACAGAUGCUUACAAUUUUUGUGGAAAUCACGUGGAGAAUUGAAAUUUAAAUUUAGGUGACUUGGGGAAGCAUAGAUAAAAUCUGAAUGUUUGAGAGGACCAGGAACCUGGGAGUCCAUGAGCCAAAAUUCUCCUUUAUCUGCCAUAUUUCACCCUGACUCAUCACAGCAGGUGCAGAUAACCAGGGACGACUUUGGGACACAUGAGAAACUGGGAGCCAGUGGAUGCUCCAGAAGACUAAAGAUGUAAGACUGUGGGCUUAAGAAUCAAAACUUCCUGGUCUGAAAUCCAGCUCUAAUGGGUCCCAGCUGUGUGAUCCUGGGGUCACUAUUAACUUCCCUGUUUCCUGAGUUUCCCCAAGUGUACAACGGAGAGAAUAAUCAUACCAUCUUCAUAAGUUUGUGAUGAGAAUUAAAUGAACUAAUAUAUGCAAAUUACUUAAUACUAUCUGACCAUGUCCUCCAAAAGUUAUAUAUUCAGUAUUACCAUUAUCAUUAUAGAUAGUAGUUAGAUAUUAUCGUUAUUAGGUAGUGUUUUGGUAAUAGCAACAAUUUUAAAAAACAGAUCCUCUGCCCUCAAGAAUUUAUGAUGCUGUGUGACAACCUUGGCCAGUGGCUGGUGGAGGUGGAGUACGACGAUGAUGAGCUGAGGUCAUGUGCCCAGCCCUAGAAUCAUGGAGUCAUUACCAGCACCAGGGGCAUGCUAUAGGCAUGACGUCUGGGGGAAUCAAUAUGACCCCAGUAAGGGUCUACUCAAAUGCUCAUGGAAAAGCUGUUCCAAAUCUUGUCUCAUGCUGGGAUGGGAGAGAAGAAAAUGCUCCCAAAUGUAAAUCAAUAGGAGCAGGUAACAUGGGCUGAGAGGGUGAGGAGACACCAUGUAGAAAUACACUCAUGUAGAGCAGGCUGCACUCACUCACCUGUGAGUCCUGGUAGCAGAGGAAGUGGCAGGGGCUGUCCAGAUGGGCUGGGAGACAGGGAUGGACAUUGCCUGCCCUGUCAGACUGUCUCAUGGAGAGAAUCCAGACUCUACUCUGCAGGAAAGGAGGGCAUCUGCUUAUCUGCUAUGUUGUCUGAGGAGUGAGGUAGCUGUAGGGAGAAAGGGCCAUGAGACUGGGACAAUCCUCCAUUGUGAAAGAGGAAGUGGACACAGUUGCCAUCUCUGGGAAGUUGUGGAUGUCUGUGCUUGGGGUUCCCAGGCCUGGGUAGAUUUAGCCAGUACUGGAGAGAGGUCCACUGCCCCAGAACCUGCUCUCUGUUUCAGAGGCACUCAUCUCAUGCCAGGGGUCCCAUGACCCUUCCUCAUUGACAGCCCAGACCAAGAGGGCUCUGUAGCUAAGGACUGAGCUUGCAAUUUCAGAGACCAUAAUUCCAGAUGUGGCACAUUUGAGGGCUUGUGGCUGUAGCAGCUUUCUGGGAUGAAACCCAGUCCCCUGCACAACCCCUGCAAAAAGUCCCUUAAGUCAACACCAAGGAACCAGCUGAGCAAAUCAAAAGUGACAUUUCUUCUUAGAUCUGUCAGAAAAACGAGGUCACAGGGCAAACCACUGUCCCCAGAAUUGAGGAGUUGGGCAGGGUAAUAUAGAGAAUCACAACUUCCUGAAGCCAAAACCUCUGUGGGAACCAGUGCCGGGGAAGGAAAGCCUGCACUGUAAUUGAAGAAUUUCUUGAGGCUCAGUGUGGGCCAGUCUUAGACACAAACUCGAGGAGGACCCAAUAACGGAGGUCUCCCACACUUUUGUGAGUUUUAUCUCUGGGAGCUUGGUUAGCUCGUCAGAGUGAAUAUAGGAGAAAUAUUCACUUGUGCUCCCAGGACACGGAAAGGAAAAGCAAUCACUUAAAAAUAUACCAGAGUGUCCUAUUGUUCUUUCGCUUGUUCCAUAUAGUAAAUAUGCAAGACAAAGGCAAGCACUGUUCCAACUACUGUUGAUACAUUUUUAGAAAGAAAUAAAACAAUUUAACUCUCAAUGUUUCUAAUGCUUUGAAUUACAGUAUACUAAAUAUUUGAACUUCCUGCUACAUUUCUAACUGACAAUAUGACAGUUUCUAAUACUUUGACAACAAUUAUGAGGAUCACAGAACAACCAUUAUUUUUCCCAUUGAAUGUAGAGUUGUUUACCAGGGCUUCAUGGUUUCCAGUUAUUUUUACAAUCCUGCACUGCCAUGCAAAGUGAGGACAUGCAAAAUAAGUACACGUGGUAAUAUAAUACAGUGCUGAGGAGAAAAACUGAUCAGGAUAAGAGGAAUUGAAAUUCUAGGGUAGGAGAGGAAAAUGACUAUUUUUCCUCACCAUGGUUUACAAAAUGUGUCUUUAAUAAAGUGAAAUUUCAGCAGAAACUUACUUGAAGGAAAGAAGAGAGUGAGCCAUGCAGCUGUUUUGGGGAAGACUCAGAGGAAUGACAGGAUUUGACUUUUCAAAAAAAAAAAAAUCAUGGCCCGGCGCGGUAGCUCACGCCUGUAAUCCCAGCACGUUGGGAGGCCAAAGCGGGC